UUCAGCGAGCUUCGGCUCACUAUCGGAUCGUUUUAGAAACAUCAGUGGCCAACAGAUCGCCAGAUCGUUGAGCUGCAUUGGCGGGAUUUCGCCGUCUUCGUUUCUCUUUCUUCGCGGACGAACACGCGCUGGGCCUGCAACGGCAGGAUCCAGGGUCCUUAACGGGAUAUGCGUUAGGGGCUUGUAGCUCAGUUGGUUAGAGCGCGCGCUUGAUAAGCGUGAGGUCGGAAGUUCAAGUCUUCCCAGGCCCACCACUUACAUCGAGUGAGCAUUCGUCUUCUGGUUACGGGGCCAUAGCUCAGCUGGGAGAGCGCGUGCUUUGCAAGCAUGAGGUCGUCGGUUCGAUCCCGUCUGGCUCCACCAGAUGGUUUGAUCACCGAGGUCAUGCACCGUCGUCCGCGAAACAUCACUUCGCAUUCGCUAGUCUGGAUAGACAGUGAACUGCGUGUUUUCUGACAUCGUAAAGAGGAGAUCGAUCCGAGUUGGGUCGUGCAGCAAGCAAUUGCUACGCGAGCCUUCAUUAUCUCCGGAUCAUUUCGGCGCUCGUGCGUCUUUCAAAGGUAGCUCACAAGGCUGCGCUUGAGAGACAAGCGAGUUGUAAAUGAUCCUUUUAGCGAAGCUUGACCGCCUCGCUAUCGGAACGAUCUUACGAAGCAAGCUGGUCUUUCUAGUCAAUGUCCGGCUGUACGUAGCAUUCAUCGAGGGUGCGCGCCGCAAGGCAAUCGUACAGACAACAUUCUGCCGAGUGUGUGGACAUUGAUAAUGAGAGCAAUCAAGUGCCUUAAGGGUGUUCGGUGGAUGCCUUGGCGCUGAGAGGCGAUGAAGGACGUGCUACGCUGCGAUAAGCC
rnacentral:misc_RNA from 1 species